AGCGAACGCUAGCGGCGAGCUUAACACAUGCAAGUCGAGCGGAGGGUUUCGGCCCUCAGCGGCGGACGGGUGAGUAACACGUAGGUUACGUGCCCUUUGGUGGGGAAUAACUUAGGGAAACCUGAGCUAAUACCGCAUAUGCCCUUCGGGUGAAAGUCUUCGGACGCCAGAGGAUCGGCCUGCGGCCCAUUAUUUAAUCCUUGUUGGUGGGGUAACGGCCUACCAAGGGUACGAUGGGUAGCUGGUCUGAGAGGAUGAUCAGCCACACUGGGACUGAGACACGGCCCAGACUCCUACGGGAGGCAGCAGUGGGGAAUAUUGGACAAUGGGGGAAACCCUGAUCCAGCUACGCCGCGUGGGUGAUGAAGGCCUCGGUUGUAAGCCCUGUCGAGGGGACGGAAGUUCUGACGGUACCCUCAAGAAAGCACCGGCUAACU
rnacentral:rRNA from 1 species